GACGAACGCUGGCGGCGUGCUUAACACAUGCAAGUCGAGCGAGGUCCAUCCGGUGGCAACACCGGAGAAGACCUAGCGGCGAACGGGUGAGUAACACGUGAGCAACCUGCCCCGAAGACCGGGAUAACAUCGGGAAACCGGUGCUAAUACCGGAUGCCCUCAUCGGACCGCAUGAUCUGAUGAGGAAAUGGAUUCCGCUUCGGGAGGGGCUCGCGGGCUAUCAGCUUGUUGGUGAGGUAACGGCUCACCAAGGCUACGACGGCUAGCUGGUCUGAGAGGACGACCAGCCACACUGGGACUGGGACACGGCCCAGACUCCUGCGGGAGGCAGCAGUAGGGAAUCUUGCGCAAUGGGCGAAAGCCUGACGCAGCAACGCCGCGUGGGGGAUGAAGGCCUUCGGGUCGUAAACCCCUUUCAGCAGGGACGAAACUGACGGUACCUGCAGAAGAAGCCCCGGCCAACUACGUGCCAGCCGCCGCGGUAAGAC
rnacentral:rRNA from 1 species